GAUUGAACGCUGGCGGCAUGCCUUACCCAUGCAAGUCGAACGGUAACAGGUCUUCGGAUGCUGACGAGUGGCGAACGGGUGAGUAAUACAUCGGAACGUGCCCGAUCGUGGGGGAUAACGAGGCGAAAGCUUUGCUAAUACCGCAUACGAUCUACGGAUGAAAGCGGGGGAUCUUCGGACCUCGCGCGGACGGAGCGGCCGAUGGCAGAUUAGGUAGUUGGUGGGAUAAAAGCUUACCAAGCCGACGAUCUGUAGCUGGUCUGAGAGGAUGAUCAGCCACACUGGGACUGAGACACGGCCCAGACUCCUACGGGAGGCAGCAGUGGGGAAUUUUGGACAAUGGGCGAAAGCCUGAUCCAGCCAUGCCGCGUGCAGGAUGAAGGCCUUUGGGUUGUAAACUGCUUUUGUACGGAACGAAAAGCCUCUUUCUAAUAAAGAGGGGUCAUGACGGUACCGUAAGAAUAAGCACCGGCUAACUACGUG
rnacentral:rRNA from 1 species